rnacentral:rRNA from 1 species
ACGCUCGACACCUACGGGGGGCAGCAGUCGGGAAUAUUGCGCAAUGGAGGAAACUCUGACGCAGUGACGCCGCGUGCAGGAAGAAGGUUUUCGGAUUGUAAACUGCUUUAGACAGGGAAGAAAAAGGACAGUACCUGUAGAAUAAGCUCCGGCUAACUACGUGUCAGCAGCCGCGGUAAUCUGAGCGGGCUGGCAAGGC